rnacentral:pre_miRNA from 1 species
UUAAUUCAAAUUUGUAUAGAGUUGGAACGUUUGCCUACGUUUGCCGCUAGGGGCGUUGUUCCAUCUCCAUACUCCAUACAAAUUUGAGUUA